CGGCCUCCUCGCUUCUUAAAAUGUCUGAGCUCUACGAAGUGGAACUGUUAGCCCUCCGUUUAUUGCCUUACUUCACACUGAAAUAAGCCAACGUUUAUUUUAUUUUAUUUAUUUUAUUAUUUAUUUUAUUAUUUUUUUUCGAGACGGAGUCUCGCUCUGUCCCAGGCUGGAGUGCCGUGGCGGGAUCUCGACUCACUGCAACCUCCGCCUCCGUGUUCAAGCUAUUCUACCUCAGCCUCCCGAGUAGCUGGGAUUACAGGUGCCCGCCACCACGCCCGGCUAAUUUUUGUAUUUUUAGUAGAGAUGGGGUUUCACCAUGUUGGCCAGGCUGAUCUCGAACUGCUGACCUUGUGAUCCUCCCGCCUCAGCCUCCCAAAGUGUUGGGAUUACAGGCGUGAGCCACCGCGCCCGGCCCCCAACGUUUCUUUUUAAGCCUGUCAUAUCUCACAUUAAAUGUGUAAGUCUCUGAACUGUAGGGCUUUGAACAAAGGAAAGUUCCAUGAGAAUACUAUAUGAUGCCAAUUUCUACUGUUAGGAACGCGAUAACAGAGUGCAGUGGGGGAGAAAAUACCGUCCUCAAGAUCUGAGAAACUGGAGAGGAAAAGUCACAGGACAACCAACUUCUCUAUGACAUAGCCCAGCAUCUGAGGAAAGUCCUGCAAUAGUGGAGGUGGAGCAGAGGGUAUGAGCUGGGAAGCAAAUGGAGCAGGAGCUGGAGGCUGCCCCAUCCACUCCAAGCCAGAGAACAAGCAGAGGCUGCCACAGGAGAUCCUGGGCAAGUAAUCAGCCACAGCAUCUAGAUUAGCAUGAAGGAAACACUGGCCAAAUUAAAAGAUGAAACUUCCAAAAGGUAAAUCUCUGUGUAUUCAUGCCUAAUCUUCCAAGGU
rnacentral:lncRNA from 1 species